GACGAACGCUGGCGGCGUGCUUAACACAUGCAAGUCGAACGGAAAGGCCCUGCUUGCAGGGUACUCGAGUGGCGAACGGGUGAGUAACACGUGGGUGAUCUGCCCUGCACUUCGGGAUAAGCCUGGGAAACUGGGUCUAAUACCGGAUAGGAGCCAUUUUUAGUGUGAUGGUUGGAAAGUUUUUUCGGUGUAGGAUGAGCUCGCGGCCUAUCAGCUUGUUGGUGGGGUAAUGGCCUACCAAGGCGGCGACGGGUAGCCGGCCUGAGAGAGUGGACGGCCACAUUGGGACUGAGAUACGGCCCAGACUCCUACGGGAGGCAGCAGUGGGGAAGAUUGCACAAUGGGCGCAAGCCGGAUGCAGCGACGCCGCGUGGGGGAUGACGGCCUUCGGGUUGUAAACUCCUUUCGCUAGGGACGAAGCUUUUUGUGACGGUACCUAGAUAAGAAGCACCGGCUAACUACGUG
rnacentral:rRNA from 1 species